GGAUUAGAUACCCUGGUAGUCCACGCCGUAAACGAUGGGUGCUAGGUGUCGCGGGCUUUGACCCCUGCGGUGCCGUAGCUAACGCAUUAAGCACCCCGCCUGGGGAGUACGGCCGCAAGGCUAAAACUCAAAGGAAUUGACGGGGGCCCGCACAAGCGGUGGAGCAUGUGGUUCAAUUCGACGCAACGCGCAGAACCUUACCUGGGCUAGAAAGUGCAGGAACCUGGUUGAAAGAUCGGGGUGCUCUUCGGAGAACCUGUAGUUAGGUGCUGCAUGGCUGUCGUCAGCUCGUGUCG
rnacentral:rRNA from 1 species